ACGCUCGACACCUACGGGGCAGCAGUGAGGAAUAUUGGUCAAUGGGCGCUAGCCUGAACCAGCCAAGUAGCGUGAAGGAUGAAGGCUCUAUGGGUCGUAAACUUCUUUUAUAUAAGAAUAAAGUGCAGUAUGUAUACUGUUUUGUAUGUAUUAUAUGAAUAAGGAUCGGCUAACUCCGUGUCAGCAGCCGCGGUAAUCUGAGCGGGCUGGCAAGGC
rnacentral:rRNA from 1 species